UUAACACAACCUCAUCACCAAGAAUUGCAAUCACUUCUGCAACGAUGCAUGUCUCCGUUUGACUGGGAAACCUAUCCCCCGCUGGGUUAAUCGACUUGCUCGACUUGGUUUUCUUUGCAAUUGUGUGCUCCCGGCGGGUUUGAAUGAGACGAAGGUGCGACAUAUUAGAGAAGAAGAUAGAGCUUAUGAGAAGAAGAAGCUAAGAAGUGAUCCAAGUAGGUUUAUAUCUCCUUCAGGUUCUGAAGCCAGAAGAAGUAGACACAGAUCUCAUCCUCCUCCAUCUCCAUCAUUGAUUUAUUCUUCUUCUCCCUCACCCUCGACUGUGAAGCUUUAGCAGCAGUUUGUUUUUGGAACUACAAAGGAUUAUUAUUAUUAUUAUUAUUCAAUUUUUUUUUGUGUGAGAGUGUGUGAGAGAAAAGCAACAGCAACAGCAACAGCAACAGCAACAG